rnacentral:lncRNA from 1 species
CCCAGUUACACAUACAUGUAUACAUUCUUUUUUCUCACAUUAUCAAGCUCCAUCAUAAGUGACCAGACAUAGUUCCCACUGCUACACACUGGGAUCUCAUUGCUAAUCCAUUCCAAAGGCAACAGUCUGCAUCUAUUAACCCCAAGCACCCCAUCCAUACCACUCCCUCCUCCUCCUCCUCCCUCUCCCCCUUGGCAACCACAAGUCUAUUCUCCAAGUCCAUGAGUUUCUUUUCUGUGAAAAGGUUCAUUUGUGCCAUAUAUUAGAUUCCAGAUAUAAGUGAUAUCAUAUGGUAUUUGUCUUUCACUUUCUGAGUUCCUUCACUCAGGAUGAGAGUCUCUAGUUCCAUCCAUGUUGCUACAAAUGGCAUUAUGUCAUUCUUUUAUAUGGCUGAGUAGUAUUCCAUUGUGUAUAUAUACCACAGCUUCCUAAUCCAAUCAUCUGUCAGUGCACAUUUAGGUUGUUUCCCUGUCUUGGCUACUGUGAAUGGUGCUGCAAUGAACAUGCGGAUGCAUGUGUUUUUUUAAGGAAAAUUUUGUCUGGAUAUAUGACCAAAAGUAGGAUUGCUGGGUCAUAUAGUAGUUCUAUGUAUAGUUUUCUAAGGUACCUCCAUACUGUUCUCCAUAGUGGUUGUACCAGCUUACAUUCCCACCAACAGUGCAGGAGGGUUCCCUUUUCUCCACACCCCCUCCAGCAUUUGUUAUUUCCUAUAUAUUUAUUCAUCAGAGAUUUGCUAAUUAGAAGAAGUGAAUACAAAGUUGGAAAGCAACAAAUUAGUGUAAAAAAGACUUAAAAAAGAUUUUGGUCUUUCUUCAUUUGCAUUCACUCUCCCGUAAUACCUCAUAUCCUCUCUCUUUUUACCACAUCCUCCCAACUGAUGACCUUUACUUUGAGUAUAAAUACAAUACAGGCAGUAAAUACAACCAGAGGAGAUCAAUUUCAUCCUCUUCUUUCCAGUGUCACCUCCUUCCCACACCUGUAUCCACAUACUCUGCCAUCCCUUCUAAAGUGGAAGGCAUAUUUGUACCUCUAAGACCAACUGCUAUACCUGUAAAACCAUCCCUUCUCAAGGUCAUUGCUUCUGUGACUAUUGCCUUUCUCUCCUGCAUAAAUUUGUUCCUUUCUGCUCCAUCAUUUCUCUCAGCAUCAUAAUGAUGCCUCAACUCCAUCCUUCCAUAAAUACCUUUCUUGACCCCACAUCCUUUUGCAACUAAUGCCUCAUUCUCUGUUCUCCUCAUUAGUAAAUCUGUGAAAAAUUGUCACCUACAUUCACUAUUUCCACUUGCUAACUCUUAAUCUUUUCUCAGUAUCCUCUAAUUGGAAUUUGGUGCCCACCAUACAAUAAAUACAACACAGGCAGUAAAUACAACCAGAGGAGAUACAUUACAAUAACUCAUUCAGCCCAAGUCAAUGUUCAUAACUUACCAAUAAAGACUAAAUUUCCCACCUUUUAGGCAUUUAAUAAAGAAAAAUUAUAAUUAUUUACAUGAAUUUAUUUAAAAUAAGUUAAUUAUACUGAUAAGAAUAAAAAUAUUUUUGCUUAUAGUUAUAUGCUUGAUAUGGUAGAGUCUCAUGAGGUCUGGCAUAUUAACUUGCUCUGAUGAAUUCUGCUCUGCCUGAUAUCAAGCUGAAUAAGCUUUUAUCCUUCCUUCCAUCCUUCCUUCUCUCAUUUUUUUCUUACUUCAUUCUCUUUCUUCUUUUUUUUUAAAUCAACUGAGUAUCUUCAGCUCUAACUCAGGACUGAGUGAAAUCAGUCAGAUUUAAAUGAUAAUAAUAGAAUUGUGCCUCAACAUAGUAACAUUGUAUUCAUCUCUUAAAUUAUUUUUAGUUGUGCAGAAGAUAAAUUAUAUGCGAUUUCUAAAGAAGCUUUGUCAAGCUCUAGCAAACUAGCCUAAUUAUGAAAAAUUAAAUUUUCUGUAAUGAUCUCGUCUUUUGAGUGUUUAAUAGAAAAUUACAUUUGCUCAGUCAUGAAUUUGGUUCUAAGACUUUUCAAGUGGUUUUUAGAAUUUUUAACUAUUAUAUAUAAGUGCAAUUUCAGCCUUCCACUAGUUUUUUGCAUAAAUCACUUAAAAAUUAUCUGUAGAUUUGUACGUCUUUUAAUUAAAAAGAGGCAAAGAUAAUGAAUUUCCUCCCUAAAAUCUGAAUACAUCUUGGCAUUAUGGCACUGAUACACAUACAGAACUAAUCUCUGUUAGUUUUGUAAAUAGCAGGCUAGAAUACUUCUCAUUUCAGCCUUUCAGUAAUAUGAUUUAACAGUGUAAUUAUUAUUCAUGUGACAAAUAUUUGCACAUUCUAAUAUGAAUAAGAAGAAAGUAUUUCUUAUUUUUCUUUAAAGUCAUAUUGAGGUUUCUAGGGAAAUGUGGGAAGAUGUAAAAGAGAACAUAACUGUGGCUCAAGAAACAACAGCUUAGAAUUUGAGCUUCUAGGAACUGUCAGGAGCUCCCGUCAUUUAAAUUCAACUUACUCAUAUGUGGGAGAGCAUGUGAGAGGUAACAAUGGCACACAAAAGGUAAAAUAGACAAGUUGUACAAAUUAAAAAAUGGAAUGGAGAAUUUUAAUUUAAAAUUUUCUUUGUAUUCUUUAAGUGGAAUUUUUCCUUCACUGGAGGACAAAUUCAAAGUUCAGCUUUUUGGUGAUAAUGAGAUAGUAAUGUAUGCAAGUUAUUCAGAAAGAAAAAUUGCUUUUUAUAACUUGAUAAGGUAAUUUUAGUUACAGCAGAUAUACUGAAUAGCAUCACUGGCAAAAGUGGAAAAAGUUACAUCCUUACCAAGGAUUACUUUGUCAUCUUACCUAUUUAAAAAACAAAAACAAAAAAACACCAACUAUUAGACUGAUACUGGCUUUUAUAUGGAUUCUAAAAUACAAAGAAAAAAAAUACAGUAUAAAUUUUUAAAACUUCAGGAGUUCCUGUUAUGGGUCAGCGGUAACAAACCUGACUAGUAUCCAUGAGGACGUGGGUUUGAUCCUUGGCCUCGCUCAGUGGGUUAGGGAUCCAGCAUUGCUGUGAGCUGUGGUGUAGGUCACGGAUGCGGCUUGGACCCUACAUUGCUGUAGCUGUGGCAUAGGCCAGCAGCUACAGCUCCGAUUUGACCCCUAGCCUGAGAACUUCCAUAUGCCU